rnacentral:tRNA from 1 species
AGGAUAGUAGUUAAUAAUAACAUUUGAAUUGCACUCAAAAAGUAUUGAAUUCCUCAGUCUAUCUU